GAUGAACGCUGGCGGCGUGCCUAAUACAUGCAAGUCGAGCGAACAGACGAGGAGCUUGCUCCUCUGACGUUAGCGGCGGACGGGUGAGUAACACGUGGAUAACCUACCUAUAAGACUGGGAUAACUUCGGGAAACCGGAGCUAAUACCGGAUAAUAUAUUGAACCGCAUGGUUCAAUAGUGAAAGACGGUUUUGCUGUCACUUAUAGAUGGAUCCGCGCCGCAUUAGCUAGUUGGUAAGGUAACGGCUUACCAAGGCAACGAUGCGUAGCCGACCUGAGAGAGUGAUCGGCCACACUGGAGCUGAGCCACGGUCCCGACUCCUACGGGAGGCAGCAGUAGGGAAUCUUCCGCAAUGGGCGAAAGCUUGACGGAGCAACGCCGCGUGAGUGGUGAAGGUCUUCGGAUCGUAAAACUCUGUUAUUAGGGAAGAACAAAUGUGUAAGUAACUAUGCACGUCUUGACGGUACCUAAUCGGAAAGCCACGGCUAACUACGUG
rnacentral:rRNA from 1 species